rnacentral:rRNA from 1 species
UACAGAGGAGCCAAGCGUUGUCCGGAUUGACUGGGCGUAAAGCGCACGCAGGCGGAUGCGCGCGUGGGGUGUGAAAUCUGGCCGCUUAACGGCCAGGCGCCAUCCCAUACGGCGCGUCUGGAGUGAUGCAGAGGUCGAUGGAAUUGCCGGUGUAGUGGUGAAAUGCGUAGAGAUCGGAAGGAACAUCAGUGGCGAAAGCGGCUUCCUGGUCCAGCACCGACGUUCAGGCACGAAAGCGUGGGGAGCAAACAGG